CCAACCCACACCGGACCAACCAGCUGCCCUGUGUUUGACAUUUGGUGAUUGUAUUCCUUUCCUGGGACAGCCGUAACAAAACGCCACAAACUCAGCAGCUUCAAACAACCAAAAUGGAUUCUCUCACAGCUCUGGAGGCCAGAAGGCCAACACUCAAGGUGUACUGGGACCGUGCUCCCUCUGAAGCCCCCAGGGAAGAAUGACUUCCUUGCCCCUGCCAGCUCCUGGUGGUGGCCGGCGGUCCUGCUCGCUCCUUGGCUUGUAGACACAUCUCUCCCAUCUCUGCCUCCACCACCGCGUGGCCUUCUCUGUGUGUCUGUGUCCAGAUUUCCCUCAUAUAAGGGCAUCAGUCAUUGGACUGGGGCCAUCCUCAUACAACAUGCUGUUAGCCUUGAUCUCCCCAGGCCUGUGGAGUACAUCUUAAUUACAUCUGCAAAGACCCUCUUUCCAAACAAAGUCACAUUUGUAGGUUCCAUGCAGACAUGAAUUUGGUGGGGGGGGACGCCAUUCGACCCAGUACAGUGGUCCUGUAGGAUCUCACAUUGAGAACGUUCUUUCUUUCCUUUCGUCUUCCAAGAAAAGCCUAAGAGAGGUCCACUUCCUUGCUGUUGGGUAGAGGGACAAGUGAAAUGCCACUUUAUGCUCUGCUAAAGACGCCCUGAGCACUGAAGACAGGCUGGAAAGACGCCCAGGGAUGGAGCCCAGCAGAUGGCCUGGCCACCAGCAGGGCUCAGACGCAGGCUGUGUAGCCAGGGGCGUUCCUCCCCUCUGAGCUACCUGGCGUGGCCUGGCGUGCCCCAGACAUUGCCUCACUUAGCUGCGGGAUGCUUCCUGCGUUUCUCUGGUGAAGAGCUUCAGUCUUUACAACCUCAGAUGACCCCUCACACAAGAAACAUCAUGCUCUAGAAAGCUUAUUUUGAGCUUCCACAGGCAAGGGGGGUGGGAGGUGGAACCGUGGAGCUGGAUGUGGGAAGUAGGGACAGUGCCACAGUUCCUUGGCAGCGUCACCUAGGGGAAAGUUGAGGUGAUGCCCAAGAGCCAGCCAGCUCUUUCCAAAGCCCUGGAGUAUCUGAUGGGGAGGUGGAGACCCCAUCUCUCAGAAGCUCCUUUCUUUUUUUUUUUUUUUUUUGAAAUGGAGUCUCACUCUGUCGCCCAGGCUGGAGUGCAAUGGCACGAUCUUGGCUCACUGCAACCUCCGCCUCCCGGGUUCAAGCGAUUCUCCUGCCUCAGCCUCCCGAGUAGCUGGGAUUACAGGUGCCUGCCACCAUGCCCGGCUAAUUUUGUAUUUUUAGUAGAGAUGGGGUUUCUCCAUGUUGGUCAGGCUGGUCUUGAACUCCCACCCUCAGGUGGUUCGCUCGC
rnacentral:lncRNA from 10 species